rnacentral:rRNA from 1 species
CAAUAGCGUAUAUUAAAGUUGUUGCAGUUAAAAAGCUCGUAGUUGGAUUUCUGGUAGGAGCGACCGUGCCGAACUUGAUUGUUCGAGUAUUGUGUUGUCUUCAGCCAUCCUCGUGGAGAACUUUUCUAACAUUAACUUGUUGGGAUUGGGACCCGCGUCGUUUACUGUGAAAAAAUUAGAGUGUUUAAAGCAGGCAUUAGCUUGAAUACAUUAGCAUGGAAUAAUAAGAUAGGACUUUGGUACUAUUUUGUUGGUUUGCAUACCAAAUUAAUGAUCAACAGGAACAGUUUGAGGAUAUUCGUAUGAACAUGUCAGAGGUGAAAUUCUUGGAUUUUGAUCAGACGAACUACUGCGAAAGCAUCUAUCAAGGAUGUUUUCAUUAA